rnacentral:rRNA from 1 species
GGGUGAGUAAUGCGUAGGAAUCUACCUAGUAGUACGGAAUAGCCAUUAGAAAUGGUGGGUAAUACUGUAUAAUCCCCGAGGGGGAAAGAUUUAUCGCUAUUAGAUGAGCCUACGUUAGAUUAGCUAGUUGGUGAGGUAAUGGCUUACCAAGGCUAUGAUCUAUAGCUGGUCUGAGAGGACGAUCAGCCACACUGGAACUGAGAUACGGUCCAGACUCCUACGGGAGGCAGCAGUGGGGAAUAUUGGACAAUGGGCGAAAGCCUGAUCCAGCUAUGCCGCGUGAGUGAAGAAGGCCUUCGGGUUGUAAAACUCUUUCAAUAGGGAAGAUAAUGACGGUACCUAUAGAAGAAGUCCCGGCAAACUCUGUGCCAGCAGCCGCGGUAAUAC